UCAAUCUCGUGCGGCUAGAAGCCGCCUGUCCCUCUAAGAAGAAUUGAUUGUACGCCGACAGUAAAAACCGCGCGCGACACCGUCACCGACACACCGAAGUGCGCGGGGCGGGCCGGCGGGCCUUUGAGAUGUCGAAAAUACGCCUAGUUAGCAGGCUAGAGUCUCGUUCGUUAU
rnacentral:rRNA from 1 species